GACGAACGCUGGCGGCGUGCUUAACACAUGCAAGUCGAACGGUGAACGAGGGAGCUUGCUCCCUCCGGAUCAGUGGCGAACGGGUGAGUAACACGUGAGCAAUCUGCCCCGAACUCUGGGAUAAGCGUUGGAAACGACGUCUAAUACCGGAUACGACGCGGGAGGGCAUCCUCUCCGCGUGGAAAGAACUUCGGUUCGGGAUGAGCUCGCGGCCUAUCAGCUUGUUGGUGAGGUAACGGCUCACCAAGGCGACGACGGGUAGCCGGCCUGAGAGGGUGACCGGCCACACUGGGACUGAGACACGGCCCAGACUCCGACGGGAGGAAGCAGUGGGGAAUAUAGCACAAUGGGCGCAAGCCUGAUGCGGCAACGCCGCGUGAGGGACGACGGCCUUCGGGUUGUAAACCUCUUUUAGCAGGGAAGAAGCGAAAGUGACGGUACCUGCAGAAAAAGCACCGGCUAACUACGU
rnacentral:rRNA from 1 species